GGGGUUCUAGCUCAUCGGUAGAGCGCUCGCUUAGCAUCGGGCUUUGGUUCACCGGUUGCGAGAGGCGCUGGGUUCGAUUCCCAGGUACUCCA